AUUUCUCUGAAAAAGAUAAAUAUAUUAGGGAAAUGACCUCUUUGAACUAACUCUUUUUCUGCUUCCUCUUUGUUCUUUGAGAAUAUGAUGCCUGGUUCUAUUGCAGCCAUCUUGUGGCCACGAGCUGAUAAUAUGCUAAAAAUGGCAAAAUGGUAGGUUACAAAGGACCAGCAAAAACAGAAAACAGCAACGACAAAACAACAAUGGGAUCUUCUGGAGUUCCUGUAAGAUUUCAAACAGAAAAUGUACACCAGUGGAUUUUUCCAUUAGUCAUAGGGUGAACGACCAGUCCUGAAGAGCUGAAGCAAUGUAAUUGCCAAAGAUGCACCAUAAAGCAAUGUCAUCCUGACUCCAUGAUGGUCUGUGAUGAGUGAUCUGAAGAAUGGAUAAAAGCAAAGUAGCUGCUGUGUGGCAUUCUCUUCUAUUAUUGUAAAUGAUAUCAUGUGUUUGCAUUUACUUGAAAGUUGAUCAAAUGUAACAGGAGACAGUGUUGACAGAUGCUGAAAAAGUGUUAACCUUUCCUUUCAUCUUUCUUGCUUAUGUGUAUCUUGUAGCAUAGGCUUCUCAGAUAGUUUUAUUAGCUGAUAGAUGAAAUGUUGUACAAAAUACCCACACUAAGAAUUUCAUUGUUAGAAAGUAUUGUCCGUAACUCUAUAAAUGAUAUAGUCAAACUGCAUGGUUCAUGUAUGAUAACACCAGACCCCUUAACUAAAUAAAAUGGUUUUGUAUAAAAGUACAUUGUUAAAAGAAAAUUAAUUUGUUUUUAAUGUAAUUUGAAUUUAUACUAGCUAAUUGAAUCCAGGCAUGCAGACAACUGGUUUAUACUGUAUGUGAUUUUCAAUCAUUCUAACUCAGCUCAUACAUGUGAACUGAGAUGCAGUUAUUUCUUAAGACUUUUUCAUUGUUGUCUUGCAAUUCCACUUCCAAAAUCAGAAAUAUGUAACAUAUAAAUAAAAGUUGGGGAAAUUCCCGUUGUGGCGCAGUGGUUAAUGAAUCCAACUAGGAACCAUGAG
rnacentral:lncRNA from 9 species